GACGGGGCCCGCACAAGCGGUGGAGCACGUGGUUUAAUUCGAUGCUAACCGAAGAACCUUACCACCUUGACAUGGCAGGAAGUUACCAGAGAUGGUUCGUGCUCGAAAGAGAACCUGCACACAGGUGCUGCAUGGCUGUCGUCAGCUCGUGUCGUGAGAUGUUGGGUUAAGUCCCGCAACGAGCGCAACCCUUGCCAUCAGUUGCUACGAAAGGGCACUCUGACGGGACUGCCGGUGACAAACCGGAGGAAGGUGGGGAUGACGUCAAGUCCUCAUGGCCCUUAUAGGUGGGGCUACACACGUCAUACAAUGGCCGGUACAAAGGGCAGCCAACCCGCGAGGGGGAGCCAAUCCCAUAAAGCCGGUCGUAGUCCGGAUCGCAGUCUGCAACUCGACUGCGUGAAGUCGGAAUCGCUAGUAAUCGUGGAUCAGCAUGUCACGGUGAAUACGUUCCCGGGUCUU
rnacentral:rRNA from 1 species